rnacentral:rRNA from 1 species
AGAGUUUGAUCAUGGCUCAGAUUGAACGCUGGCGGCAGGCCUAACACAUGCAAGUCGAGCGAGAAAGCACUUCGGUGUGAGUAGAGCGGCGGACGGGUGAGUAACGCGUAGGAAUCUACCCAGUAGCGGGGGACAACAUGGUGAAAACCAUGCUAAUACCGCAUACGCCCUACGGGGGAAAGGGGGCUUCGGCUCCCACUAUUGGAUGAGCCUGCGUAAGAUUAGCUUGUUGGUGAGGUAAUGGCUCACCAAGGCGACGAUCUUUAGCUGGUCUGAGAGGAUGAUCAGCCACACUGGAACUGAGACACGGUCCAGACUCCUACGGGAGGCAGCAGUGGGAAUAUUGCACAAUGGGGGAAACCCUGAUGCAGCCAUGCCGCGUGUGUGAAGAAGGCUCUAGGGUUGUAAAGCACUUUCAAUGGGGAGGAACAGUAAGUAGUUAAUACCUGCUUGCCUUGACGUUACCCAUAGAAGAAGCACCGGCUAACUCCGUGCCAGCAGCCGCGGUAAUACGGAGGGUGCAAGCGUUAAUCGGAAUUACUGGGCGUAAAGCGCGCGUAGGCGGAUAAUUAAGUCGGAUGUGAAAGCCCCGGGCUCAACCUGGGAACUGCAUCCGAUACUGGUUAUCUAGAGUACAGUAGAGGGUGGUAGAAUUUCUCGUGUAGCAGUGAAAUGCGUAGAUAUGAGAAGGAAUACCAGUGGCGAAGGCGGCCACCUGGACUGAUACUGACGCUGAGGUGCGAAAGCGUGGGGAGCAAACGGGAUUAGAUACCCCGGUAGUCACGCCGUAAACGAUGUCUACUAGCCGUUGGGGGACUUGAUCCUUUAGUGGCGCAGCUAACGCACUAAGUAGACCGCCUGGGGAGUACGGUCGCAAGAUUAAAACUCAAAUGAAUUGACGGGGGCCCGCACAAGCGGUGGAGCAUGUGGUUUAAUUCGAUGCAACGCGAAGAACCUUACCAAGACUUGACAUCCUAGAAAUUUACCAGAGAUGGUUUAGUGCCUUCGGGAAUCUAGUGACAGGUGCUGCAUGGCUGUCGUCAGCUCGUGUUGUGAAAUGUUGGGUUAAGUCCCGUAACGAGCGCAACCCUUGUCCUUAGUUGCUAACAGUUUGGCUGAGAACUCUAAGGAGACUGCCGGUGACAAACCGGAGGAAGGUGGGGACGACGUCAAGUCAUCAUGGCCCUUACGUCUUGGGCUACACACGUGCUACAAUGGCCGGUACAAAAGGUUGCCAAGCCGCGAGGUGGAGCUAAUCUCAUAAAACCGGUCGCAGUCCGGAUCGCAGUCUGCAACUCGACUGCGUGAAGUCGGA